UAUAGUUUAAUUGUAAAAGUGUGAUUAGUUUUAUUAAAUCCAGUUUUUUAAGAUUUAAUAUUCUGAUUAAAAAAUU
rnacentral:tRNA from 1 species